GCUACAGGCUUAACACAUGCAAGUCGAGGGGCAGCAUGGUCUUAGCUUGCUAAGGCCGAUGGCGACCGGCGCACGGGUGAGUAACACGUAUCCAACCUGCCGUCUACUCUUGGACAGCCUUCUGAAAGGAAGAUUAAUACAAGAUGGCAUCAUGAGUCCGCAUGUUCACAUGAUUAAAGGUAUUCCGGUAGACGAUGGGGAUGCGUUCCAUUAGAUAGUAGGCGGGGUAACGGCCCACCUAGUCUUCGAUGGAUAGGGGUUCUGAGAGGAAGGUCCCCCACAUUGGAACUGAGACACGGUCCAAACUCCUACGGGAGGCAGCAGUGAGGAAUAUUGGUCAAUGGGCGAGAGCCUGAACCAGCCAAGUAGCGUGAAGGAUGACUGCCCUAUGGGUUGUAAACUUCUUUUAUAAAGGAAUAAAGUCGGGUAUGGAUACCCGUUUGCAUGUACUUUAUGAAUAAGGAUCGGCUAACUCCGUGCCAGCAGCCGCGGUAAUACGGAGGAUCCGAGCGUUAUCCGGAUUUAUUGGGUUUAAAGGGAGCGUAGAUGGAUGUUUAAGUCAGUUGUGAAAGUUUGCGGCUCAACCGUAAAAUUGCAGUUGAUACUGGAUAUCUUGAGUGCAGUUGAGGCAGGCGGAAUUCGUGGUGUAGCGGUGAAAUGCUUAGAUAUCACGAAGAACUCCGAUUGCGAAGGCAGCCUGCUAAGCUGCAACUGGCAUUGAGGCUCGAAAGUGUGGGUAUCAAACAGGAUUAGAUACCCUGGUAGUCCACACGGUAAACGAUGAAUACUCGCUGUUUGCGAUAUACUGCAAGCGGCCAAGCGAAAGCGUUAAGUAUUCCACCUGGGGAGUACGCCGGCAACGGUGAAACUCAAAGGAAUUGACGGGGGCCCGCACAAGCGGAGGAACAUGUGGUUUAAUUCGAUGAUACGCGAGGAACCUUACCCGGGCUUAAAUUGCAGAUGAAUUACGGUGAAAGCCGUAAGCCGCAAGGCAUCUGUGAAGGUGCUGCAUGGUUGUCGUCAGCUCGUGCCGUGAGGUGUCGGCUUAAGUGCCAUAACGAGCGCAACCCUUGUUGUCAGUUACUAACAGGUCAUGCUGAGGACUCUGACAAGACUGCCAUCGUAAGAUGUGAGGAAGGUGGGGAUGACGUCAAAUCAGCACGGCCCUUACGUCCGGGGCUACACACGUGUUACAAUGGGGGGUACAGAGGGCCGCUACCACGCGAGUGGAUGCCAAUCCCCAAAACCUCUCUCAGUUCGGACUGGAGUCUGCAACCCGACUCCACGAAGCUGGAUUCGCUAGUAAUCGCGCAUCAGCCACGGCGCGGUGAAUACGUUCCCGGGCCUUGUACACACCGCCCGUCAAGCCAUGGGAGCCGGGGGUACCUGAAGUGCGUAACCGCGAGGAGCGCCCUAGGGUAAAACUGGUGACUGGGGCUAAAU
rnacentral:rRNA from 1 species